rnacentral:rRNA from 1 species
UACGUAGGGUGCAAGCGUUGUCCGGAAUUAUUGGGCGUAAAGAGCUCGUAGGCGGUCUGUCGCGUCGGCUGUGAAAACUCGGGGCUCAACUCCGAGCUUGCAGUCGAUACGGGCAGGCUAGAGUUCGGCAGGGGAGACUGGAAUUCCUGGUGUAGCGGUGAAAUGCGCAGAUAUUGGGAAGAACACCGGUGGCGAAGGCGGCUCACUGGCUCAUUACUGACGCUCAGGCGCGAUAGCGUGGGGAUCAAACAGG